rnacentral:lncRNA from 1 species
CCCCGCAGCCCGCUCGUACUACCCAGCCUAGCCGGUCGCCGAGCUCCGGGACCCGGAGAAGCUAGGCUCUGGGUCCGGGGGAAGUUUCUCUCCGCUGGUCGCUCAGGUUAAGAAAUUGUGACAAACUGGAAUUCCCAGAGCCUGGGAGAGUUAAAGCCUAGAGCGAUCUGUUGCUUUAAGCCGCACGGUGGGAAGUAGCUUGGAGACUCUUUAAUUUGGUUUUCUAUUUAAAAGAGGGCGGCCAGCGAAGAUGUUGUAGGUGACUUCCUAGCCUUGUAGAUUGCUACCGGGCUGUGAAUGGUAUUAAUUUCUGAAGUGGGCGACGCCAAGUACUUACGGAAGCUCAGGUAACAAACAAGUUAGAAGGACAGCCUGCGCCCUGCCACCCAGCCUCACUAGCAGCUCCCAGCUCACUGAAGUUUGGUAAGUUAAGGCGGCUUCACCCUGACCACUGCUCAGACGAACACUAUACAGGCGGUCAGAGCAUUACAUAGCAAGUUCCACAGGCAACUCACUACCCUUCCUCAUUAUUUUCAUCUUAAAGAUUGUUGCUCUUAGGUACAUGCACAUAAAUCUUGGGAGUAUAUGCCAUGUGUAUGUUGUGCCCAGGGAGGCCAGAAUAGGAGUCAGAGCUGCUGGAACCACAAUUACAGAUGGUUGUGAGCCACCUGGUAUGGGUGGUGGUCCCCUGAAAGAGCAGUAAGUGCUUUAACUGCCGAGCCAUCUCUCAAUCCCUUAUUAUUUUAUUAAAAGACAAUACUACCUUGUUUGGUUUUGUUUAACAUACCAAGCAGAGUGCCCUGUAUGUUUGUAAGCACCAGUGUUCCCAUAAGAAUGGAAAUAGAAUGGAAAAAAAAGAAUAAUUUGUUUUUGGGGUUUUGGGGUUUUGUUGUUGUUGUGGGUCAUUGUUGUUCUAGUACUGAUCGUAGUGGGCGUAUUUGGUGGUGUGUUAGUACUUGGCUUUCAUUGGAUUAUCUGAAUCUCUGCAAUGCCACCUUCGGCAUCUCCCCACCAAUCAACAGUGAUUUAAGGUGCCUGCAGUUGGGGUGUAUCUCAUGGAGACUUGGAUUCUGGUAAUUCUUAAAUAACACACACAAUGUUCACAGAGUUCAGCACAUUUCCUUUUGAGGGGGGUAGAUUAUUGAAUUUUUAAGAGGAGACAAACAUGUCCUGUGUGAACUAAUAGGAACCCUGUGCUUGCCCAGUGAAAAAUUUAAGCUCCCAGUACUGAAAGAGAAACCUGUGCUAAGUUACCUGUGCUGCGGCUGAAUUAGUGCUGUAGGCUAAGUGCCCCUUCCAAAUCACAUGGCCUUACACACAUGUACCACACCUGUGUUCCCACACACUUGACCACAAUACCAUGUACACACCUGCUUGCAGAACACACACACACACACACAAAGAUACUCAAAAAUGGAGGUAGGAUGGAGAGAGAGAGAGAGAGAGAGAGAGAGAGAGAGAGAGAGAGAGGUUUAGAUAUUAACCAUCAGGGAAGGAGGG